CUGUCUGCUGCCUCACACCGUGUGUGUCUCCUCUGCUCCACCAGAUAACAUCAGCCACCAGCACUACCAGCACUACUAGCACUACCAGCUCUACCAGCAUCAUGAAAGCCACCACCACCACCCCCCUCUUGCAGCUGCUGGUACUGGCUCUAGUCCUAGCAGCCACAGCGUCACCGCUGUCACAAGAGGCCUCCCAGGGCGGCGAGAUACCACAAGAGGCCUCCCAGGGCGGCGAGAUACCACAAGAGGCCUCCCAGGGCGGCGAGAUACCACAAGAGGCCUCCCAGGGCGGCGAGAUACCACAAGAGGCCUCCCAGGGCGGCGAGACACCACAAGACGCCUUCCAAAGAGACAGGAUACCGCAAGAGAACAGC